UGUAAGACUGGGAUAACUCCGGGAAACCGGGGCUAAUACCGGAUGGUUGUUUGAACCGCAUGGUUCAGACAUAAAAGGUGGCUUCGGCUACCACUUACGGAUGGACCCGCGGCGCAUUAGCUAGUUGGUGAGGUAACGGCUCACCAAGGCGACGAUGCGUAGCCGACCUGAGAGGGUGAUCGGCCACACUGGGACUGAGACACGGCCCAGACUCCUACGGGAGGCAGCAGUAGGGAAUCUUCCGCAAUGGACGAAAGUCUGACGGAGCAACGCCGCGUGAGUGAUGAAGGUUUUCGGAUCGUAAAGCUCUGUUGUUAGGGAAGAACAAGUGCCGUUCAAAUAGGGCGGCACCUUGACGGUACCUAACCAGAAAGCCACGGCUAACUACGUGCCAGCAGCCGCGGUAAUACGUAGGUGGCAAGCGUUGUCCGGAAUUAUUGGGCGUAAAGGGCUCGCAGGCGGUUUCUUAAGUCUGAUGUGAAAGCCCCCGGCUCAACCGGGGAGGGUCAUUGGAAACUGGGGAACUUGAGUGCAGAAGAGGAGAGUGGAAUUCCACGUGUAGCGGUGAAAUGCGUAGAGAUGUGGAGGAACACCAGUGGCGAAGGCGACUCUCUGGUCUGUAACUGACGCUGAGGAGCGAAAGCGUGGGGAGCGAACAGGAUUAGAUACCCUGGUAGUCCACGCCGUAAACGAUGAGUGCUAAGUGUUAGGGGGUUUCCGCCCCUUAGUGCUGCAGCUAACGCAUUAAGCACUCCGCCUGGGGAGUACGGUCGCAAGACUGAAACUCAAAGGAAUUGACGGGGGCCCGCACAAGCGGUGGAGCAUGUGGUUUAAUUCGAAGCAACGCGAAGAACCUUACCAGGUCUUGACAUCCUCUGACAAUCCUAGAGAUAGGACGUCCCCUUCGGGGGCAGAGUGACAGGUGGUGCAUGGUUGUCGUCAGCUCGUGUCGUGAGAUGUUGGGUUAAGUCCCGCAACGAGCGCAACCCUUGAUCUUAGUUGCCAGCAUUCAGUUGGGCACUCUAAGGUGACUGCCGGUGACAAACCGGAGGAAGGUGGGGAUGACGUCAAAUCAUCAUGCCCCUUAUGACCUGGGCUACACACGUGCUACAAUGGACAGAACAAAGGGCAGCGAAACCGCGAGGUUAAGCCAAUCCCACAAAUCUGUUCUCA
rnacentral:rRNA from 1 species